UGAUGGGUUCUCUGUUUCUUAAUUUUGGCUGAUUGUGGGCAACCUGUUUCAUCUUGGGGCGGGAGUUCAGUGCCUCUGAAUUUGGCAAGACGCCGAGGUUGGAGGUGAAGCUGAACUCCCGCCAUUAGAUAUCAUAGAGUUAGCUUAUUUAGGGUGAUUAAUCGGUGAGGUAUGGAGCCUGUAUGUGAUCUUUGUAGGGUUGUAAGAGCAGUGGUGUACUGCAAGGCAGAUUCUGCUCGUCUCUGUUUGAAUUGCGAUGGUUGUGUACACUCCGCGAAUGAUUUGUCACGCCGUCAUCCUCGUUCACUCCUGUGUGAUCAGUGCAAUUCCCAACCCGCAAUUGUCCGCUGCUUGUAUGACGAAAUGUCCGUGUGUCAAUCUUGUGACUGGAACCAAAAGGGCUGUUCACGAUUGGGCCACAGGUGUCAGGCAUUGAGUUCUUAUACUGGUUGUCCCUCUUCGGCCGACUUCUCAAAAAUAUGGUCCUUUGUUUUUGAUGCUCCUUCAGGUGGUCUUGGUGUUACUGGUUCUCGAUCCUUUACCACAUUACCUAGAAAAGACAGCUGCUCCAGCAAGUCUAUGGAGCCACCAGAUAAUGACGCCUCUUUUGAUUUGGUGACUGGUAAGGUGAAUGAAAUAGAACCAUGUGUCACAUAUGAUCCUUGGAUGGGACAAUCUGCUAAGAUUAUACCACCAAACGCAAAUUUCCUGUCCUCGUGCAGAGAUCAGCAAUUUUCAUUUCCUCUUGACUCAGAUCUGCAGGCAAAGGGAUAUCCUAAUUUAAAGGAUCUUGGGACUGCUAGUGGUGAUGAUCUCUGCGGAGGCCUCAACAUAGAAGAUCUUUCAUUAGGCUUUGAAAAUGAUGGUGAAAUACUUGAUUACACCCAAGAAGCCAUCAGAUACCAUCUUGAGAAUGGAGAAGCUGACUAUUUAUUAAUGGAAAAGAACAUAUCAGUGCCAGAAUCUAACGGUCUUAUUGAGAAUGCCUUAGAGGCAUCUUCAUCAGUUCAACAAGGUCUAGCCUUUCAAUCAUCCAGGCCGAGCGAGUCAGGUGACGUGGAUCACAGCAUCAACAAUAAUGCCAAUCCGAUACCCAUGAAUCUGAGCUGCAACCAAAAUGAUAAUCUAGGAUAUCCUCAUGGUCAAGGGCAUCCAAGCAUAUCAGUUCCAUUAUCAAGCAUUAGUGGUGAAAAUAGUACCCCUGAUUAUCAAGAUUCUGGAUUAUCACCAGCAUUCCUGACAGGUAUUGGCCAGUGGGAGCCAAAUUUUGGGUCCUCGUCCCCACAGGCAAGGGACAGAGCUUUAAGGAGAUACAACGAGAAAAAGAAAACCAGGACGUUUAGUAAACAAAUAAGAUAUGCAUCUCGCAAGGCAAGAGCUGAUACUAGAAAACGGGUGAAAGGUAGAUUUGUGAAAGCUGGUGAGGCAUAUGAUUAUGAUCCUCAAGACACAGGGAACUUCUAAGCAUAUCGCCAGCAAUCACCGUCUUUUCUCUUGCUAUGUGAUUCUGACCGCUUUUGACAGGUUAUAAAAUCCUGCAUUAUUCGUUGAUGAAAGCAAAGAUGCACAAAGGUGCUGCAUUUGGAAAUUACGUGCAGAAGCAGGGGUUGUGUUUAUAUCGAGAUUUUGCAUAAAAUAGGAAACACAAGAGUUACCAGUCUGUUUAGUCUUUCCUGAUUCCAGAGGAAUUGUACAAAACGGUUCGUCUCAAAUUUUGACACCCGUGUCCUACAGAAACACCAUCCAAGACAAGAAUAAAAGGAAAAGGGGUAGUUGGCAAGCCUGUGCACUGCCUCAAUAAAAUGUUUGGCAUUGCUUUGUAUUUUUCUUCCCGUUGGAACCAUGAGUUUAUGCUCGCAUUUCAAUAAUGGUGUAAACACUGCCCCGUCAUCAAGGGAAAUUUGUUU